rnacentral:lncRNA from 1 species
AAUAAUUUAACCGUUAGAAAAUAAAAAUAAUUUAAAUUUUAAUGUAAUAAAAAUUAAUAACUUACCAAUAAGUUCCUCAGGGUCUAUCGGGGUCUAGAACAUCCAAACCCUCCUGUCCAUGCUGGACAAGCAAAUCCUCCACCGUAUAUCUCGCGAAUGGAGAAUAUGAAGGCUUACGCAAAUCCGGAUGAACUGCACCUUCUGGGACAGGCUGAGGU